AGGACCGCUGCACUCCUGGUCUUGGGGUUUCUUUCUUUCUUUCUUUCUGUCCUUUGGAAAUGGUGAAAGGAUCACAUGAGGAGGAGGCACGGAGACCCAGGACACUUGAACGUCGGAGAAGGCAUCGGGCACAUAUGUGUGGGGAUCUUCAUCCAUAGUGUACAAAUACAUGUAUACACAAAUGAUUAUAUUUGUAUAGGCAGGGAUCCGCCUAUACUGGAACAAUCUUUAAGCCAAAUUCAACAACUUGUCUCUCUGUAUUAUCCUAGUGCAUUUACAUUAAUCAAAUCUGCAGCAUCCUAAUAAAAAAUCAGACACUUUCCCUUCACACCCUGCAUGGCUUGUACAUCUGGGAGAUGAUUUUGGAAGUGCUAAGAAGAGGAAAGAGCAUUUCCUGGCAUGUGUCCUACUUCAGCUAAACAUGGCAGAAGGCUCUUUUCCACUACUUACCUGGUGUUAGUGCUCUGUGAAGGCAUCCCAGCACCACAGGACUGUCUCCCUCUCAGGUGCUUCCUUUCCACUGUUACUACAAUGCUGCCUUACUCCAGUUCAACACAUUGCUGGAAGCAUGGUCAACUCAUCAUUAGAUGAAGUUCCCCAGGGCUUUAUCUUAUCAGACCUUGAAACCAUCCGAAGAUGGAGACUGUACAACUUCUCUGGGACACCUAUUUAAUCUUGACUGCUCUUGUGGGGAGGAAGUUUUUGUAUAUAUCAUGUGAACCGCUCUUCUUUCAGUUUAUGCUUCUUGUGUCUCAUAUUCCCACCACACACCAUUGUGAAGAGGAUGGCUCUGUCUUCUCAACUCCUUCCAUGUAGAUGUUAGUUAGAUCACCCAGAGGUGACCUUCUUCUCUGGGGUGAACAAGCCCUGGUCCCUCAAAUUCUUUUCACAGGGGAAGCUAUCCAGCCCCCAAUUAUGUUGAUGUCCACUCCAUUACUCACUCCCCUUUAGCAAUGUCUUUACUGUAUGGAGUGGGCCAAAACUGGACAAGGUAGUCUUGUAGUGGUCUAAUGAGUGGGAAUAAACACUUGAUUUCCUCCUGUUCCUACAGCUCAGGAUGCAGUUGGCCCUUGCUGUUGCAGGUGCACGCUGCUGGCUCACACUCAGCUUGCUGCCCACUACGACCUCCAGGAACUUCGCAGCAGAACUACCCACAAACGGUCCGUUCCCAGCCCAUAACACUGCAAGAGGCUCUGCUUCCCAUGUGCAGGACUUUACAUGUGUCUUUGCUGAAUUUGAUAAGGCUCCUGUUGUCCCCAUUCCUUCAACAGGUCUGGGUCCCUCCACCCUCAACUAUACUUACUGUUCUCCCCUUUCUUGGUGUCACCUGCAAACUUGAAGAAAGAGCACUUCAUCACCUCCAUCACAUUAUUGUUAGAGAUACUAAACAGGACAGAUACGUAUGCAACAUUUGUAUUUCAAGAAUUCAGGUAGUUCAUUGGGUCUUUCUGGUUCUGAGACUGACAAAGUCUCUCUACAAAGUGUUAUUAAUUCUGACCAGCUGAAGUGAUUUGAACUAAGAGUAAAUUGAUGGGCUGUAUUAUGACACCAGAAAAUGUCCUUAUUUCACUAAUAACAUUGUCUGAAUGAAGACUGAAAGAGUGUGGGGUUCAUAAUAUCAGGUAGGCUUUCAAUAAAGGGAUUUCAAGAAAAUCUCUGGUUCAGCAAAGGCAUAAAAGCAAGUAUUUUAAUUUUCAUAGCUGUACAGUGUGGUACUGUCAGGGUGAGCUUGGUCUAUAAUUAUAAUUUCUAAGAAUGAAUUAUAUUAAAAUGGCAAGAAAAGAUCUUUGUGAGGAAAUAUGAGCUGUAAAAUGUGAGUGUUACAUUCUACAGAUUGUCAUUAUUUUGAAGCCUUAAAAUAAACAAAUGUUUCCAAAAGGGAACACAGGCUAUUCAGAUACCAAAUUCUUUUGUUUUCAUAAGUGUCCCUUUGAAUGCAUUGAAUCCAGCAUUUAGCACUUGGCAUCUAAUUAAUUUGUUAUCAGGGAGGAAGUCACGGCGUGAUGCAAUUCCCGAUUCUCAUAAGUACCAGAAUCUGUUUUUUAAACUGUGGAGGCAGAGCACUAAUAAUAACUGGUUUCUCAGCUUAAGUACUAUUUCCUUUCCAGCUCCAGAUCAUACCUUAAAGAUAUCCUCCUCCACGCUCAGGAGGGGUGGCGGUAAAAAAAAACAAAACAAAAACAAACCAAAAAAACCCAAAAACAAACAAAAAAAAAACAACAAACAAACUCUCCUUAGCAAAAUAUAACCCUCAGGAUUUUUUGCCAUUAGUAAAGCAAAUCACAUUUUUCUUUUAUUCUGCUUUAAGAACCCUCAUCCCCAGUCCAUUUUGAAGUUCAUAGAGAUAAUAUCCUGGGUAAUAUGAAUGAAGGAUUUCGCAUAUUUUCUAUAACUAGACUUCCAAGAGACCAAUUAAUUUUAACUGGAAGGAUGGAGGGACAGUUCUGUUAUUCACCUUUUCAAAGCGCAGAACAGGCCUUGCUUUUACUGAGUAGGCUCAUCAAAUUUACAUAACCAUUUAAUUAAAUGUUUGCAGCAAUAAUUGACCUCAAGAGUAAGUCAUCUGAUAAUAAAUAGAUUCCACUCUGUCUAAAUAGUAUUUUACUGACUCUGAGAUGCUAUUCAUAGUCUGGUAGCUUUGCCACAAACCUCACCAGCAAUUAGCUUAAAUGCAUAUUCCAUUGUAAAACUGACAGUGAAUCAAAAUGAAGUUUAACAGUAGAGAUUUCAGCACAUGGUCCAAAACAGAAAGUAACAUGCAUUUCUCUGAAACUUUUCAGGGCCAGAUCAGAACUGAAAUAGGGAAAAAAAACCCGGACAAACAACCCUAGCCCAGAUUUGUUUAGUGUCUUCAUGUUUUUCUAUUUUUUCGACUUGCUUAAAUAAUUGCUUAAAUAAUGUUACACAUGUGUCAAUUUGAGUACAAUUAUGUUUCAAGUAAAAAGGCUUUUAUUAGUUUUGAUGUAAUUAGUUUUGAUUAGUUUUGAUGUAAUACAGUGAUAACCUCAACAACCUAAAACUGACAUACAUUUAACGUCCUCCCUCCUCCAAGGUAUUGAUUUAUUACUCUGCCUUUGUUUAAAACCUACGAGCUAAGUUCAGAGGUGAUGCAUAAAGUGUGUAAUUUAGAGUCCUUUAUGCUCAGUUAGGCUCUUUAAGACCUACUUACGCUCACUUACUAGAGUAUAAGUCAGGGAAAUGGAGUGUAAAUUGAUGUGAUUUACACGUGGAGGAGCUGGAAGAGUGAGAAGGUAUUACUUACAGGAAGGAAUAGACUUCUAAUGAGCACUUUCUAAUACUCAUCUGGUUUUCUUUCUACACCUCUGCAUGCCUGAGUAAACAUGUUUGCAUUUGCCUGCUUAAGCUCCUGUGAGACUUUCUGGGCCAAUGUUGCUGAUUAUAUGUAAAAAGUGUGAUAGAAGUUGUGUACUGAGGAGUGAGUAUGAGGUUUAUAAAUAAGCAUGCAAAGGCUCUGGUUCACAUUCCUCUUCAUAAUUCGCUGCAAACCCAGCAGUUUUGUCGUUACUUGUAAUGACUGAAGAUCUUCUCACCUAAGGUGCUUGCUCUGCCUUCUAUCAGAAGAUUUUUACAUCAAAUGCACACUGCACGUUGUGUCCCUGUGCCUUGUUUGACAAACUGGCAGGUAAGAGGUAUGCUCCAUCAUGUUUUCUGUGGGAUAAGAACAUGCACCUGGCAGCUACCACGUUGCUGUAAUUUCACACUCUUACCCUGUGGUUAAGUUGCUCUUUUGCCAAGUGAGCUAUGUAAAGCCUUGUCAGCUCCCAGAAUUCUACCACUUGAAACAUGUCUGUUCAAGCAUUACCAGUACAGAGGCAAUUCCUGCAGAAUGAAGAACCACAAAUAUAUUAAUCUCCAGUUCUACUGCCUUCAAAAACUCUGCCUGUAAUACACCAAUUUACUAAUUAAAAAAAAAAAGCUCAAAGAACCCCGAACCACCAAUGAAACAAACAACAAAACAAACAAAGAAAAAACACCACUCCAGGUCAAAAUACCCUAAGAACCCAGUUAUACAUGAAAAAGACUCAAGUUUAAAAUUAAUUGGAGGCAUAAUAAACAUACGUGGGAAGAAAAGAGAAGAAAGAGGAGUAAAAGAGAUUUAAACUAUCCUAGUUAAGACUCUGGGAAGACUUUGGCCUGGACUCCUCUGGAAAGUUUUGCAGCAUAUGUCAGAUAAAGUGCGAAAAGCAAAACGGGAAGAUCUAUCUAGUUUUUGCUGUGCUGGCAAAAUGAGAUACAUUUGUUCUGGCCAAAAAAAUGUUUCAGCAAGUGUAGUUCAUCUUGCACAAAGAAUUAACAUUGGCUUUCUUUUUCUCUUAUUUAUUUAUUUAUUUAUUUAUUUAUUUAUUUAUUUAUUUUUAAAUGCUACAUUUUUAUAGAAAACCUUUACCAAGUCACUAUAGUGCUGUAGUUAUCUAUUUUAACAUGCAAGAUGAUAAAGGUAUUCAUAUAGGUAUAGUCUAUAUGUAAACUUUGCUAUGUAAAUCAGUGCAAUAUAGAGGUAUAUUUAAACUUUAUAUACAGGAAGAGUUAAGCCUUCAUAAGAACUCUAACUUUCUUGUGCAAUAUGUUUCUGUUUUUGUUUUUUUCUACAUCUAAACUGUAAGCAGAUAACUAAACUGCAAGAGAAAACCUAAUCUCAAUAGGCCUGCUAGCUUGCAUAGAAAAUCCCCGAAGAGGAUAACGAGUAUGAGGUCACUUGGAGAAACUGCUGAUGUUCAUUUCCAGCUGCAGCUCUCUAUUCAGCCAGGUCAGUCUUCUUCCCUGACGGCUCGUCUUCCAGCACACAGGGACAGACUUCUCCCGCGCCUCUAAGAUUUCCUCCUUGAAGAGCAACCAGCCUUCCUGGGCUCCUUUGCCCUUCAGGACUGCCUCCCAAGGGACUCUGCCAACCAGCCUCCUAAACAAAUCAAAGUCUGUCCUUCAGAAGUCCAAGGGACAUGGAUUUCCUAGGAAAAUCCCUGUUGCCCAGGGAGUGGAUCGUGUGAUCUUAUGCUGCAAGUAUCUUCUCUCUUCUAAGCCAAGAAAUUUUGACCCACUUAUACAAUUCAGCUUCCCCUCUACACCCUCUGCUGGAGCUGCCACACUUCAAAAUAUGUGAGUGACAAGAGGCUUGACAGUCUUUGGGGUGGUGAAGGAUCUGGCAGGAGCAAGCCUGCCCAGCAUGCUCAUCAGGACUCAAGCACCCCUCCCCUCCAGCAGCUCUGUGUGUGUGUGUGAAUGCACACGUGCCUGUACGCCUACCUCCUUCCUCCUUCCUGUACCUUAAGCGACCAGCAACUACAGAGGCCCUUUCCAAAGAGAUGAUAUUAAAGCAGAUAUAUCUUGUCCAUUUGCCAGAAAAAGCUGGGGGAUGCUGGCUGUACUCUAGUGGUAGGCACAGCUACCCAUCUUGAGGCCAGCACCUCAGCAGAAGCAUCUACCUGCGACUUAGUUUAUGCUAAUAUGUUAAAACAAAAAUACAGUUUAUAUUAAAAUGUGUUCCGUUCUCCUUGCUGCAAAGGUAAUAAUCAUAAUAACCAUUGAUAGAUGAGCAGAAUAGCCAAUAUUGAGCAUUUACCAUGUUUAUCAGCUCUCUGAUAUCACACCACCAAACGUGACUAAACAUCCUGAGAGAAAAGAUAGUACACCUUCACUCCCAUUGUACACCCUUAUAAUAGCCAGGUAAAACAUGAUUUUCACAAGCUCCAUUUGAUACAGGUAAAAAUAAUUGUAUCCUACUUAAAUCUGUUAGAUGAAAGACUUGAAGUGGCAUUUUCUAGGUCAGAAGGAGAAUCAACAUCUGUAUUUGCAGUGGAGUGCCAGACCCUGACUUCUGUCUUGUGCUCCCAAUGCUAAAUCAUAUCUCAUAAUGCUGAGCAGUGGUGAUGAAUGUGCUGUGGAAUUUGCUUUGCAAAACAAAUAUUUAACUUUCUACAGAUCACUGAAGACCUGAUAAAACUCUUAAGUGUCAGCUAACCGAUUUCCUUUUCUUUUUAAUGGAAGAAUAUUUUUAUUCUUUUCAUCUAAAUGUAUGGUUCAAAUAAAAUUAAAAAGGCCAUUGACAGUUAUCUUCAAAUAUCAUUUCUGUGAACAGGCUUCACAGAGUCAGAGAAUGUAGAACAAGUCUUUGAAGGAAAAAUUCUGAUUAACAGCAUAGGUUAUUUCAAAGAUAGGAAUCACACUGGUGAUUAGUCAAGAGAUCCAAUGCUUCCUUCUUGCUUUUGGGUGUGAAGAGGCCAACGGCCAGGAAGCAGGGGUGACGUGUGCAGCUUUGGCAGCCCAGGCGCUGCUCCCCUCUGCACAGGCAUGUGGUGCAAAUUCCAUGGUGGGGAAGGGCAGACCAGGAGCCAAGCAAGCACUACAGAGAACAAGAUAACAAGAUAAAUAGUUUCUUCCCAGAAAAGACAUGGGAAUGUUGACACAAGCUAAUAAUUCAUCCAGUUCCAGUCUCCAAAAAGGGAGAUUGAAGAGCACAAAAGGCAUUCAGCAUGUGACAGGAGAGUAUUUUUUAUUUAUUUGUUUAGUUAUUUAGUUAAUUUUUUUAUUAUUAUUAUUGUUUACUGUACCUUCUUGUGAGAAUUGAAAGCUUUCCUUUGUUUAGGUAGAAAAGAAAAGAUAGCACAGAUGCUGAAAAAUAUACCCAAAUACAAUGUUGGUAGGAAAAGACAGUCUGAAAAUGCCAGUGUGAUGGAGGGAUUCUGUGAAGGUAACUAUGCAGUUGUUUUGCAACUCUUUUCAAUAAAUUAGCUAAAUAUAUUAUCUACAUUAUUUGUUGUUCUUACUCAUUUUGAUCACACUGUCUACAGCAAGAUUUCCAUUUAACAGGGUAUCUUUUUUUAGUUUAAGAUCUUAUAGAUCUAAAUUUGAAAUAUUUUAUGUCAAAUAUUAUUCCUCCUUUACUCCUCUCUAGAAAGAAAAGAAGGCCUUUUACAAGUGUUAACAUAUUUAAUCUUGUCAAGUUCCAACAUUAAAAAAAGCUUAAAAGAAAAAAAAAAAAAAAAUCAAAACUUAGGAAGUACUAGGAAUGGGACUGAGUAUGAAGUGGAAAAUAUAAUUGUGUUACUGUAUAUGUUGGCAGAGUGCUCACAGAUUCAACACUGAAUUAAUUUCUGGUCUUCUUAUCUUAAAAUAGAAUACAGUAAACCAAGACAAGGCGCAUUGAAAUGAGAGAAGGUUGAUUAAAGGAACAAAUGGCUCCCAUAUUAAGAGCAUACAAAUAGAUUUGGGUUAUACAAGACAAAAAAGGCACAAAUAAGAAGGAAAUUACAAGAUCAAAAGCAGCAUUAUUUGCUUGGAGAAGGGAGUUCAUUACAGAGCCCAAAUGUGACUGGUGAAUUUGAGCAAAUACAGAUGGAAAAGAAAAAGCUUUUGGGAAAAUAAGGAAGCUGAAGAAAUAGGUUGACAAUUCAGUUUGUAACAGAAAAAAAUGGAAAGAAUACUGAAAAAUGCAUGGAUAGUGUAAAUCUCUUUCCCAUAUCCUUACAGCUGUGGAAGAGCAGGUAUUAUAGCAGAGUCCAGAGGAAGAGACUGUGGGGAAACUCGACCCUCAGACGUGUUUGGUCCUCAUGUUCACUGGAUGUUCACUGGAUGAUCUCCUACCUCCCUAGGGCCCCUUCUGUGGUUCAGAGGCAGGAGGCUGGUCUGGGAGGCCUCCAGCUCAUCAUCACCAGAUCUGCUCCCACCGUGUCCCUGCAAUGGUAUUCUUCUGGCAGUAAAUCUCUGCGACACAUCAGUAAUAAUUUUACCAGAAGUGAAGCAGAAUGGAAAGGUUCACAAAAUGGACACUACUUCUCUGUGAAUGAGGUCUCCCUCAAAGUAAGAGCUACAGUUGGCUGCAGAUCAAGUACAUGUAAAGAUUUCACUAUUUAAAUGGUGCUGUAGCCGUUUCUUCAUCAGCAAUAUAAGAUAUUCAUUGAAGUACAAUUUUUCUUUUUCAGGUAGUCAUCCUUAAGUGCUGCCAGUUGAAUUCUUGUUGUAUAGAGCUAUAAUUAACACUGAUCAGUCACUGGUGUGACUUUCCUCUUUAUGAUAUGCUAAAGCACAUGGUUGAUAUUCCAGGAUGAUUUGUAGCUCCCAGAAAGCUAUUUUGCCACUAUUUACAACAGUUAAUUAAAGCCAUAUAUGUAGA